rnacentral:rRNA from 1 species
GGAUGAACGCUGGCGGCGUGCCUACUACCUGCAAGUCGAGCGAACAGACGAGGAGCUUGCUCCUCUGACGUUAGCGGCGGACGGGUGAGUAACACGUGGAUAACCUACCUAUAAGACUGGGAUAACUUCGGGAAACCGGAGCUAAUACCGGAUAAUAUAUUGAACCGCAUGGUUCAAUAGUGAAAGACGGUUUUGCUGUCACUUAUAGAUGGAUCCGCGCCGCAUUAGCUAGUUGGUAAGGUAACGGCUUACCAAGGCAACGAUGCGUAGCCGACCUGAGAGGGUGAUCGGCCACACUGGAACUGAGACACGGUCCAGACUCCUACGGGAGGCAGCAGUAGGGAAUCUUCCGCAAUGGGCGAAAGCUUGACGGAGCAACGCCGCGUGAGUGAUGAAGGUCUUCGGAUCGUAAAACUCUGUUAUUAGGGAAGAACAAAUGUGUAAGUAACUAUGCACGUCUUGACGGUACCUAAUCAGAAAGCCACGGCUAACUACGUG